rnacentral:rRNA from 1 species
AUUGAACGCUGGCGGCAGGCCUAACACAUGCAAGUCGAGCGGCAGCAGGGAGCUUGCUCCUGGAUUCAGCGGCGGACGGGUGAGUAAUGCCUAGGAAUCUGCCUGGUAGCGGGGGAUAACGUCCGGAAACGGGCGCUAAUACCGCAUACGCCCUGAGGGAGAAAGUGGGGGAGCUUCGGACCUCACGCUAUCAGAUGAGCCUAGGUCGGAUUAGCUGGUUGGUGGGGUAAAGGCCUACCAAGUCGACGAUCCGUAACUGGUCUGAGAGGAUGAUGAGACACACUGGGACUGAGGCAGGCGCCAGACUGGUAAGGGGGGGAGCAGUGGGGAAUUUUGGAGAAUGGGCGGAAAAAUGAGAGAGCAAUGCAGCGUGUGGGAAGAAGGCUGUCGGGUUGUAAAGGACUUUUGUAGUGAAAGAAAUGGAGCUGGUUAAUACCGGGGGUCGAUGACGGUAACGGAAAAAUAAGGACAGGCUAACUACGUG